CACUUAAGAUGGAAUAGAACCAGUUUACAGCAAUGAUGACCUACUUGUAGAGAAAAAAAAAAGUCUAAUAUGAUCCAAAAGAAACUUCAGAAGUUCCAAAUGUGCUAAAAGUUAAGAAUACCACAAAAGCAGCUUAACAAGUUAGAGGGAAUCCGACUCAAAUAGCUCAGUAUGGAAAGCAAGCUCUUUUGCCCUAGUGAGGAAGGCAACUACGUAAGAAGGUGACUUUGAGGUCAAAACCAGUCAACUUGCCGCAGAUGGUCAAGACAUUCAUUUUGGAUAAGACAACUUCUGAAGGGACGAGCAAGGGACCUAGGAAGGCAAGGCAAGAUAGAAAGAUUCCACCACAAAAGCCACAUAAGAAAGGUCUAGACUUCAAACGUGUCUCCUUUAAACAGAAGAGAAUGGAGUAGUUUGUGGCUGACCAAUGUUCCUGCUGAAAAUAACUGCAGGUAAAAUACAACCAUCAUUAUAGAGUUAUCAGAGAGCUGCUAAGCAAGAAGAACUAGAGGGGGCCAGGAUGUUGGGGAAGAGAGAAUCUCAGAGAGGUUACUGGUCUUCACCUACUUCAAUCAUGGGCAGGGGGUGGGGCAUUUACUGAUUCUGGGAUGAGACAAGAUGCUGAGAAUUGUGGUCUUACCCAGGCAGAGAGUUGCUUCUUGAAGCCAGAGAAACAUGCGGGGCUAUUACUAGAAGUGUUUCAGAAAAGACAAAAUUAGAGACUUCAAGAGCUUCAAGCACACAUCUUUCCCCUCAAAAUAUUUGCCACACUGUGAAACUGCCUGAAAUGGGAGGCUGAAGGGAUAAGCAAGUGGUCUCUGAGAGCAGAACUGAGUUUCUGGUAAUCUCUCAGGGCCAAGGAAACAAGUACUAGAGUCUAGAACAUGCCAAGGGGAAGGAACCCAGUGAAUACAUCAGGCCCCUCAAAGAAAGCCCUGAACAGCUGUGAUGUAGGAAUAUUAAAGAAUAGAGGUAGACAGAACGUUACCAAAACAACACAGCCCCAACUCAACUUGGAGACUGACAGGAGUGAAGCUACCCAGUCUACUGCUCUAGCCCAGGAAAAAGCGAACUCUCCCUGAAGAGAGAAAAUAGAGAGCAGCACUGUCCAGCAGAAAAAUAGUGCAGCCACAAAUGUGACCCAUGUACACAAUUUAAAAUUUCCUAAUAAUUACAUUUUCAAAAGUCAAAAGAAACAGGUCAAAUUAAUUUUAUAUUUAGUAUAUACAAAAUAACACUUCACCAUGUAAUCAAUAUAAAAAGUUGUUAAUGGAAUACUUUACAUUAUUUUUUGUUGUACCAAAAAAUUCAGCAUUUUACAAUUACGGCAUACCUCAAUUAGGAUUAGUCACAUUUCAAAUGCUUAAAAUUAAAAGUCACAUGCAGCUAGUGGGACUGUAUGAAUAGCAUAAAUCUAGACCUGCAAAAACAUUUUCUCCCAAUGUCCAGCAAUCAAUGAAGAAUUGCUAUUAAUAUGCCUAAGAAAUUAAGAGGCCAACAUGAAGAAAAAAGACAGAAAAUAGAAAAUGAAAAGAUAAAUAAUUUCAUGUGAGUAUUGGAAUAUAUUUUUAAAUGUAAAUUAUAGAGCUGAAAAUAAAAUAAUUGCAAUCAAGAAUUCAUCAGACUGAUUAGUAAGUUAUCUAUAGGAAAAGAUAAAAUGGACAUAUUCUUCAAAAAAAUUAUCAAAGCUAAAAAAGAAGAAAUAGAAAAUAUGAUUAGAACUGUGCCUGUUAAGGAAACUGCCUCAUAAUUUAAAAUCUAUCAUAACACUCCAGUUCCAGAUGAUUUUGCCAGUCAAUUCUUCCAAAAAUUCAAAGAGAAAAGUGUAUCAAUUUUGCACAAAGCCUUAGAGAAUAAAAAGAGGAAGAACGCUUUUAACUGUUUCUAUGAAGGCACCACAAGAUUAGUUCCAAAACUUGGUAAGGACAUUAAGAAAGAAAAUUAUAGACUAAUCUUUCUCAUGACAACAAAUAAAAAAUUUUAGAACAAAAUAUUAGUAAAUCAAAUCAAACGAUAAAGAUAAAGGAUAAUAUAUCACAGGCAAAUGGGGUUUAUUCCAGGUAUACGAGGUUAGAAUAUCAUUUGAAAAUUAAAUGUAACUGACUUCACCAAUAGAAGAAGGGAGAAAAAUAAUACAGUCAUCUUGGUGAUGCAAAAACAGCAUUUCAAAAAUUCAAUACCCAUUUAUAAUUUAAAAACCCUUAGCAAAUAGGAACAGAAUGCAAUUUCCUUAAUAUGAAAAACAGCAUCUUUCAAACAAAUAACCUACAGCAUUCACAUACAAUGGUGAAAUCUUGAAAACUUUCUCAGUGAGAUUAUAAACAAAACCAGAUUACCACCACUUCUAUUUAACAUUGUACUGAAGGUUUUAAGCAGUGAAAUAUUGCAAGGAAAAUGGAAAGAAAUGGAGGAGAGAGAAGUAGAAGGAAGGAGACAGGAUAAAAAGGAUGCCAAACGAAGAAAAAAAUAACAUUAUUUGUAAAUUAUACGACUGCAGAUCUAGAAGAUACAAAAGAAUCUAUUAACUAUUAGAAUUAAUAAGAAAAUUUAACAAGGUCACUGGAUACAAGGUCAACAUAAAGGUAUAACUAAAAGAGCAGGUAAUUAGUGGAAAGAUAUAGUAGACUAAUGGAACAGCUAAGAGACUUCAGAAGCAGACCCACACAUUUACAGCCAUCUGAUUAAUGUCAGAGAUGACACUCUGGUGCAGUAGAGGAAAGAUGGUCUCUUCAAAUAAUGACGCUGGAUAUUCUGGUCUUCCAUUUGGGAGAAAAAACAUAAUUUUGACUCCCACAAUUCCCACCAUAAACAAAAAUGAGCUCCAGUUGGAUUUAGAUCUAAAUGUCAAAGGUAAAAUGUCAGAAGCUUUUUUUAGAAGAAAAUAAAACAUGUUUGUAACCUGGAGUAGAUAAAAUUUUUAGGACACAAAAAGUACUCAUCGAUAAAUAUUGAUCAACUAUCUUAAAACCAAGAACUUCUGUUCAUUAAAAGACACAAUUAAGAAAGUGGAAAAAACAAGCCACAGACUGGAAAAUAUGCCUAUCUCCAGCAAAGGACACCUAUCUUGAGAAUACAAUAUACACAUAUAUAAUAUAGAUAUAGAUAUAAAUAUAGAUAUAGAUAUAGAUAUAGAUAUAGAUAUAGAGAUAUACACACAAUAUACAAAGAGUAUAUAUCCAACACAUGUUCAACAGUGUAUACUCAAAUGUUCACAAGAGUAUUAGUUAUAAUAGCCAGAGUAUCCAAAUACAUAUUGACAGAUUAAAAAAUUGGAAUAAAUCACAAAAUGGAAUAUUCUACAGUCAACGAAAAUGAACAAUCUACAACUACCCAAUUACAUAGAUAACUCUCACAAACAUGUUGAGUAAAAGGAGCCAGAUGCAAAAAAGUACAGGCACAGGGCACCUGGCUGGCUCAGUCUGAAGAGCAGGCCACUCUUGAUCUCAGGGUUGUGGGUUCAAGCCCCAUGUUGGGAGUAGAGCUUACUUCAAAAAAAAAAAAAAAACUAUAGGCACAAAAUGAUUCCAUCUUUAUAAAGUAAAACAUCACAAAAUAAAAACAAAAAGAUUUUAAAAACGCAGGUGAGAGUAAUCCAUAUUGUUACAAGUCAGAAUAAUGAUUAGCUUUGAGGAAGCAUAAGGAAACAUAAAGGGGGUUUCUGGUUAUAUAGGUCUGUUUAGUUUGGGAAAAUUCAGUGAGCUUUUCACUUAUGAUAUAUGGACUUUAUUGUUUCAAUAUAAAAAUUUUAAAUUAAAAAAAAAAAAAGACCCAGACCUUUCUGCUCUGUCAUG